GGGCCCGCACAAGCGGCGGAGCAUGCGGAUUAAUUCGAUGCAACGCGAAGAACCUUACCAGGGUUUGACAUCCUGCGAAUCUCUUGGAAACAGGAGAGGUCACUUCGGGUGGACAAUGCACAGGUGCUGCAUGGCCGUCGUCAGCUCGUGUCGUGAGAUGUUUGGUUAAGUCCAGCAACGAGCGCAACCCCUGUGAACUGUUGCCAGCGCGUAAAGGCGGGGACUCUGUUCAGACUGCCCAGAUCAACUGGGAGGAAGGUGGGGACGACGUCAGGUCAGUAUGGCCCUUACGCCUAGGGCUGCACACGUACUACAAUGCCCAGCACAAUGAGAACCGAGACCGCAAGGUGGAGGAAAUCUGCAAAACUGGGCCCAGUUCGGAUUGGAGGCUGCAACUCGCCUCCAUG
rnacentral:rRNA from 1 species